AAAGUAAAUCUCCGGGAACCCGGAAGCGCUCAUCCAUUUGCCCUGACUGCUGCUGCUGCUGCUCUGUUCAUUGAGGUUGUGGCGACUUAAAUCACCCGCGACCGGCACAUCCGUCCAGAUCGGGCGCCUGGGAUAUUUACCUUGAAUUCGGCUAGAAGGCGAGCGAGCAUGGCUGGUCGACUGCCGGCUUGCGUUGUCGACUGUGGCACAGGGUACACAAAGCUUGGUUAUGCUGGAAACACGGAACCUCAGUUCAUCAUACCGUCAUGCAUCGCAAUCAAAGAGUCAGCCAAAGUUGGAGACCAGGCGCAGCGCCGAAUGAUGAAGGGCAUUGAUGAUCUGGAUUUUUUCAUUGGUGAUGAAGCCAUCGAUAAGCCAUCAUAUGCAACAAAAUGGCCAAUCCGACACGGAAUAGUGGAAGACUGGGAUCUAAUGGAGAGGUUCAUGGAGCAGGUCAUCUUCAAGUAUCUGCGGGCAGAACCUGAAGAUCAUUACUUCCUCUUGACAGAACCUCCAUUAAACACACCAGAAAACAGAGAGUACACAGCAGAGAUCAUGUUUGAGUCGUUCAACGUCCCAGGUCUCUACAUUGCUGUUCAGGCUGUCCUGGCACUGGCAGCCUCCUGGACGUCCCGACAGGUGGGCGAGCGAACACUGACGGGGACGGUGAUCGACAGCGGCGAUGGAGUCACGCACGUCAUUCCAGUGGCUGAAGGCUACGUCAUCGGCAGCUGCAUCAAACACAUCCCCAUUGCGGGCCGGGACAUCACAUACUUCAUCCAACAGCUCUUGAGGGAACGGGAAGUGGGAAUCCCUCCUGAGCAGUCGCUGGAUACCGCUAAAGCUGUCAAGGAGCGCUUCAGCUAUGUCUGCCCAGACCUUGUCAAGGAGUUUAACAAGUACGACACAGACGGGUCCAAGUGGAUCAAGCAGUACACAGGUGUCAACGCCAUCACCAAGAAAGCCUUCCAGAUAGAUGUGGGCUAUGAGCGUUUCCUUGGGCCUGAGAUCUUCUUCCACCCGGAGUUUGCCAACCCAGAUUUCACGCAGCCGAUCUCAGAGGUGGUUGAUGAGGUCAUCCAGAACUGCCCUAUCGACGUCCGCCGCCCCCUCUACAAGGUGCAGAAACAAAAUGCGACCAGGUUAUGUGCAUUUACUUUGUGUUAAUAUGUCACCUGUGCCACAGAACAUUGUGCUCUCUGGAGGCUCCACCAUGUUCCGAGACUUUGGUCGACGCCUGCAGAGAGAUCUCAAGCGGACUGUGGAUGCACGGCUGAAAAUCAGUGAGGAACUGAGCGGUGGCAAGUUAAAGCCAAAGCCCAUUGAUGUGCAGGUCAUCACCCAUCACAUGCAGCGCUACGCCGUCUGGUUUGGAGGCUCCAUGUUGGCGUCCACUCCCGAGUUCUACCAAGUGUGCCACACCAAGAAAGACUAUGAGGAAAUUGGUCCAAGCAUAUGUCGCCACAACCCCGUGUUCGGGGUCAUGUCUUAGGCCAGGGGGAGCUCGUUGGGCUGAACUGGAUGGCAAAAGGAGGAAGCACAUAUGUGGCGGUCUCAUGAGCCUUUGGUGCUCCAAAGGACCUCUCCAUUCAGAUCGAGUGACAGCGGACCAAACAAACUACCAACAAUGGUAGCGACGUACUCCAUCAAUUAGAAGGGAUGAGCAACAACUCUAAUUGUGUUUCCUGCAAAUAAUUUAAUAAUCGCUGGUAAAUAUUUAAUUAAUGCUCACAGGGUUGUCACAUGCUUACUUGACUUGAGUCUGCUUGAACAUACCUGGGUCAGCUUGCCCAUCAAGAGGCAAAAGUAAAUAAAGGAUGAGUCAUGAAAUGUUACCAUACUGUCCUUCCAAAAGGUGUUGGAACAAGAAUACUUAGUUUGUGUGAAGUUAUAAACAAAAAAACAAAAUAGUGAAAAAGUAGAUGAAGUCUUUAUGAUGUUUGAGAGUGACAUGAUGACAAACACAAGCAUCCAGCCAUGCUCUGAUGCAAUUAUGAGUCUUUGGCGGAAUUGUUUUAACUCACUUUUCAAUGCAGGCACAUCUUCACAAUACAAAAGUUUUAGUCACAGACGAACAUGCGGUGAGAUUUGUUGAAUCCUGGUGUCUGUACUGCCAUUCUAAUAAAAGCUGAGAUGUUUGACACCCUU